rnacentral:lncRNA from 1 species
UGUGCGAGGGAGGCCGGGAGGGGUCCCUGGGCGGGGAGUUGCUGCGCAUCUGUUGUGUGUGUGCGUCUGUCUGUCUGUUCAGGUCUGUUUUAGGCUGUGUCUGCCUGUCUCUCUGUCUGGGUCUCUUUCAGGCUGCGUCGGUCUGUCUGUCUGGGUCUGUUUCAGGCUGUGUCUGUCUGUCUGUCUGGGUCUGUUUCAGGCUGUAUGUGUGUCUGCUCUUUGCUUCUGCUCCUGGCUCUGUGUGUAUUUCCCGGGUCCUGUGGCCCUCUU